UGGGGAAUAUUGCACAAUGGGCGCAAGCCUGAUGCAGCCAUGCCGCGUGUGUGAAGAAGGCCUCGGGUUGUAAAGCACUUUCAGCGAGGAGGAAGGUGGUGAAGCUUAAUACGCUCAUCAAUUGACGUUACUCGCAGAAGAAGCACCGGCUAACUCCGUGCCAGCAGCCGCGGUAAUACGGAGGGUGCAAGCGUUAAUCGGAAUUACUGGGCGUAAAGCGCACGCAGGCGGUUUGUUAAGUCAGAUGUGAAAUCCCCGGGCUCAACCUGGGAACUGCAUUUGAAACUGGCAAGCUAGAGUCUCGUAGAGGGGGGUAGAAUUCCAGGUGUAGCGGUGAAAUGCGUAGAGAUCUGGAGGAAUACCGGUGGCGAAGGCGGCCCCCUGGACGAAGACUGACGCUCAGGUGCGAAAGCGUGGGGCAGCAAACAGGAUUAGAUACCCUGGUAGUCCACGCUGUAAAACGAUGUCGAUUUUGGAGGUUGUGCCCCUUGAGGCGUGGNUUCCGGAGCUAACGCGUUAAAUCGACCGCCU
rnacentral:rRNA from 1 species